GGAUUGGUUGCGUUUGAAUGGAAUAGCAAGAGCACCACCACCACUUUCACCAAGCUCGUCAAGGUCCUCCGCAACAGCAGCGGCCGCCGCCGUCGUCGUUUCUGCCUCCGUCAUUGGUCUCAUUCUCGCUGGCGUCGUCUAUGGGGGAGCAAACAGAAACUCAAGUCCCCAUCCAGACGCAAAUUCAUCAUCCUCCUCAUCCCCCACCCCUAGUAUCAGCCCUCAAAUCAGUCCCAAACUCAACCCCAAGCUACAAUCCAGACACAAUCCCAGUCCCAUCUCCAAAUCCAAUCUCAUCAGACUCAACUCCAACCUCAGCCCCCGCCCGACAAUAUUCGUCAGCUUCUGCCUAAAGCCAAGAGGUAUACGCCACAACCGCCGUCGCUCUGCCGCCGAAUUUCUCCUCGGCAUCUAAGAUCCUCUUCCGGCCUAGAAAGAUCAGGAAAGGUCUCUGCUGACGUUCUCUACGGACAAUUCCGAAAGUGAUGUUCACAACAGAAAGGAGAGAGCUGAACUACAAGAAACUCUGGUCAGGAACUGAAAAGAACAUCACCAUCCCCAACCUUCCACAAAGGAUACAUCUGCUAUGGGUUGAGGAGGACCAAAUUUUCAAUAUGGAGAUCGCCCAGAGCAUGUAAUGGUAUGUUCACUUCCUCUUUUGCUGAUUUAAAUGGGUUCAAAUUUAAUUCAAAAGAGAUAAGGAUAGGAAGGGCAGGAGAAAGGAAGAGAGGGAGAGAGAGACACACACACACACACACACACACAAAAGCCAUUAUGUCUCCCCUAUGUCACUACUCUAUAUUGUAGAUUGUUCAAAUAAAUGGAAAGCCUCUUCUUGGAUAUGAAA